GACGAAAGCUGGCGGAAUGCUUAACACAUGCAAGUCGAACGGAGUGGCGAACGGGUGAGUAACACGUGGGUGAACUGCCUUGCAAUUCGGGAUAAGCUUGGGAAACUGGGUCUAAUAACGGAUAGUGCAAGAUGAGCUCGCGGCCUAUCAGCUUGUUUGUGGGGUAAUGGCCUACCAAGGCGUCGACGGGUAGCCGGCCUUAGAGGGUGUACGGGCAAAUGGGGACUGAGAUUGGGACCAGACUCCUACGGGAGGCAGCAGGGCGGAAGAUUGCACAAUGGGCUCAAGCAUGAGGCAUCGAUGCCGGGGGGGGGAGGAAGGCUUUCGGGUUGUAAACUCCCUUCGCCAGGGACGCUUGACCUGCAUAAGAAGCACCGGCUAACUACUUGCCAGCAGCCGCGGUAAAAC
rnacentral:rRNA from 1 species